UUUUGUUUGGUUUGUUUUUGUUUUUUAUUUGGGUAGCAUGCCCGCAAUCUAGUGUAAAACAGUGGGGGUGAAUGUAGCAGUGUGAUGUUAUUACACUAGAUUGUAAAGUGAGAAGCUAUUCCGGUAGGAAAUUAUAUGAGCACCGACAGCUUUUAUUUUGAAAAGACGACCAAUCCAUUUCAAAACAGUGGGUAAUUUCCUGUCCCGAAAUUAUUAUCUUCAUUCAAAUUUAAUAUGUUGUGAACAAAACUGUGAAUUAUUACCUUUAAUGUUUAACAUAUUGAGUUCAUAGAUUGUUGUUUAAAGUAUCAGUUCGAAAUUUAAAAAGAAAAGUUAUCGGGUCAUACCAUUAUAACCUGUGAAAGGUUUUCCCACGCUUUCCGUCGCGCUCUUUCUGUUCGGAUCCCGUGGGAGAAGGCGCUGUGGAACACUGUGAAAAGAAAAGCCUGUUCUUGAUUACUAUUUUCUGCCAUUUGAAUGCAGGUAUGUGAUGUUUCAUUAUUAUUUUUGGUGGGAUUAUUUGGUUUAAUUAUUCUGUUUAAUUAUUUCUUUUCUUAUUCAUGUACUGUUUAAGAUUAUUAUGUCCAUGUUUGGGCUUAGUUAUUAAUUAGUGUUGCAAUUGUUUUUAUUUUGCAAGGUAAAUGUGUUACUUUACACAAGUCACACGCGUCUCUUUCUGUUCGGAUCCCGUGGGAGAAGGCGCUGUGGAACACUGUGAAAAGAAAAGCCUGUUCUUGAUUACUAUUUUCUGCCAUUUGAAUGCAGGAUCAUUAAAAGUGCUUUCCAAUCAGC